UACAGAGGUGGCAAGCGUUGUUCGGAAUUACUGGGCGUAAAGGGCGCGUAGGCGGUCUUGUAAGUCUUGUGUGAAAUCCCUCGGCUUAACUGGGGAACGGCACGGGAUACUGCGAGACUUGAGGGCGGGAGAGGGAAGCGGAAUUCCGGGUGUAGCGGUGAAAUGCGUAGAUAUCCGGAGGAACACCGGUGGCGAAGGCGGCUUCCUGGCCUGUCCUUGACGCUGAGGCGCGAAAGCUAGGGGAGCAAACGGG
rnacentral:rRNA from 1 species